AGUGAACGCUGGCGGUAGGCCUAACACAUGCAAGUCGAACGGCAGCACAGUAAGAGCUUGCUCUUACGGGUGGCGGGUGGCGGACGGGUGAGGAAUACAUCGGAAUCUACUUUUUCGGGGGGGAUAACGUAGGGAAACUUACGCUAAUACCGCAUAUGACCUACGGGUGAAAGCAGGGGAUCUUCGGACCUUGCGCGAUUGAAUGAGCCGAUGUCGGAUUAGCUAGUUGGCGGGGUAAAGGCCCACCAAGGCGACGAUCCGUAGCUGGUCUGAGAGGAUGAUCGGCCACACUGGAACUGAGACACGGUCCAGACUCCUACGGGAGGCAGCAGUGGGGAAUAUUGGACAAUGGGCGCAAGCCUGAUCCAGCCAUACCGCGUGGGUGAAGAAGGCCUUCGGGUUGUAAAGCCCUUUUGUUGGGAAAGAAAAGCAGCAGGUUAAUACCCCGCUGUUCUGACGGUACCCAAAGAAUAAGCACCGGCUAACUUCGUG
rnacentral:rRNA from 1 species